CUAGAACUCAAGAAUUUUAACUUUAGGAGUGGUAAAAACUUACCUUUAUUUGAUAUGGAUGAGUCCUUUUAUAUUGAGUUUUGGAGUGGUUACUUAUUUAGUAACUUCCUCAAUAUGGAUGGAAGUUAGAAGAUUCAGACUUAACUUCCUCGACGUGGAUAGAAGUUAGAAAGGUUAGACUUAUCUUCCACAACUGCUAUGGAAGUUAAGAACUUGGUGGGAAGUUAUAGUGAUGAACAAGGAUUUUGCUCAUACUUCAGAAUAGUAGAACGUGAUCUGAAUCAUAAGUUCUUGAACAUAAAGUUAUUUUGAUAAUUUCUAAGUGUUGGGAGGUUGUCCAAGUGCUUCCAUACUAGACAACCUUCUUACACUUGGACAACACUAUGGACGAACUGGAGAUGGUUCAAUUUUUGGUUCACCAUCAAUAGCCCCCUUUGUUCGAGGGUCGUCCUAGACACUGUGGUAGAAUUGUUUGCUUUUGACACGUGUCGAUGUUUUAAUGGUCAAUUAAUAUACUACGUGUUGUCUUUGCUUUGGUUGGAGUUUGUUGUUUCAGAUUACGCUAUGUGUCACAAUCUUAUUGAUUGACUUGUUGCAUCAAUUUAUUUUCAAGGAAUAUGCCACAUGUCAGCUUCUGAUUGGUACGUGUUGCUUCGUUGACCCACCUCUGGGGCCUAUAAAUAUGUACAUUCUCUCUCUUACCCUUUCACUUUUCUGAUAUUUUCCUUUCCGCCAUCUUGUCCAAGAGCUCCAUCUAGUCAUCCUUGUCUCUAGUCUUUCAUCGAGUACUUCCUUUCCUUUAUCCUUAGGUUUUCAUCUUUUAAGAAAUUCUAUUCAUUCUUAUAAAUAUGUCUGCAUCUAGUGGUAGUACAGAGAGAGAAAUAGAUGAGUACCAAGAAGAGUUCUCUGGUAGUAGUGGUAGCUAUGGGAGUAGUAGUGAGAGUAGUGGUAGUAGUGAUAGUAGUUCCCAAGAUGAGCAUUAUUUGUCUGGGGUUCCUGGUAGUCCUUUAAAGGAAUUCUAGGAGAUGCAACAUAGGACGACUUCUGGGGCUGAGGCUAGCUCAUCCAGAAGGAGUAAGUCACCCAAUCCCCCUCAAGACGAAGAUGAGGAUGAAAAUGUUAUUUAUAGUUGUGCCCUAGAGGUGGCAUCCACCCUAGACACGAGUAAGUUGACAACUCUUGUAGGUAGAUACUAGAUUCCCAAUGAGUUUAGAACUCGUCUACCUAAAAAGGGUGAAUGGUUUUGUUCCCCUCUUUUAGGUUUUGGUGUAUAUACUUCUUACUUGUUAGUAGGCCCUAGGUUUCCUCUCAAUUCUUUCUGUAAAGGUUUCUUCCAUAGGUUAGGUAUUGGACCAAACUAGCUUAACCCUAAUGGAUGGAGGACAAUAGUUGCCAUGCAAGUGUUAUGGCGUGAGGUGUUUGAGGGGAACCGUCCAAUCACAGUGGAUGAGUUCCUUCAUUGUUAUAAACCCUUAGAGAUUAAACAAUCUACUAGUUUUUACCAGUUUUCUUCUAGAGGCUCCUAAUUUAGUUUGAUUAGGGGUUGUAAUUCUUCUGAUAAGUUAUGGAAGAAAGAAUUUUUCUUUAUUUUUGGAAAUUGGGUUGGGACCUAAUUGAAAGAAUUUUUCUUUAUUUCUGGAAAUUGGGCUGGGGACCCAAUUGAUGUAAAUAAUGCCCCCUUUGCUCCUUUUACUAGUGCCUUAGGUCGUCUUUGUCUUGAAGGUAUGUCUUUCUUCCUUUCCCUUUGUUUAUUUCAUUUAAUUCUUUCCUUGUCUAAUCCUCUCUUAUAUUGUUGCAGCUAUUACUCGUCCACAUUUGGACAAGUUUCACUUGGAGUGUAUUGAUAGAGCCCGUGCUUAUCCUAAGAGAUCCUUCCAUAGUUUGGUAACCCUUUUGUUGUCUUGUUGUUUGGGGACUUGGUCCUAAGCCUACUGAAGAAAAUCUUGCACACGAGGAGGCCACUCGUCAAAGGUUAGCCACUAUGAAAGGAAAAAAAGGGAAAAACGUGGCCAGUGGUACUAAAGUUGAGGAGGACGUCCAGGUCCAAGACGAAGUAGCUUUAUUAGCAGUCUAGAAGCCUGUCGUCCAGGCUAGGAAGAGGAAACAUUUCAAUAAUAUUGACCUUGGUGAUCUUCCAAGACAUCGAGGUCUUAAGUAACAAAAGCCUGAUAAGACCCUUCCUCCCAAGGUUCCAAAGCUUCCAACCUUGACAGUAACCUGGAUGACCUGGCAAUGAACCUGGUGCUCGUCCAAACUACUCCAUUUGUCCAGCCUGAAAACCCUGCUCCCCCUACAGCCAAAGCUUCUCACAGGACUCAUCUUUUAGUCCAAACCAAGCAUCCUCCCAACCUAGUGCUAGACGAGGAUUAUGCUUGGAAGAUGUUCAAAGGAUUUAUUACUGACAAAGAAAUGAGUGCAUACUAUGAUAUGUCAGUGAGGGAUUUUGAACGUUCUACCAUCCAUGAUCUUUUCAAGCAAAAGCCAAGGAGCUUUGUGAUGAGGCUAAGGCUACUAAGGUAAAGAGUAAAGAACUAAAUAAUGAGGUCCUUUUGAAGAAGGGGGAAGUGAUUAGGCUGACCAAGAAGCUUACUCUUCUUCAAGGAAUAGAAAAGAAACUAAGGAACGAGGUAGAAAAGCUCAAGGCAAACUCCAUUGAGAAGGAAACUCAUAUUAAUCACCUUGAGGUGAAAUGUCAAGAGUUCACUUCAUCCUUGAAGAAAUCAAAGAAGGAAGCCAUCUCAACAUUUAUGAAGUCAAACGAUUACACUGAUCGUCUAGACCAAUAUUAUGCUGCUGGUUAUGAAGACUUUUGCUUUGAUGCCAAGGAGGUUUACCCUGAGAUGGACUUUGACUCCUUCUGAAUUCCUAUUGCAGUAGAAAGUUCCUUGCUUUAGACGAGUUCCGAGGACGUUAAUGUCAUGGACGAUGCUUCAACAGAACCUGCUUAGGACGCCACCAAACUAGCCAAAGACGACCUAAAGUCUGGGGGCAAUGCCCCUAGUGGUUUAUCCCUAUAAAAUUUAUU